GACGAACGCUGGCGGCGUGCUUAACACAUGCAAGUCGAACGAUGAUCAGGAGCUUGCUCCUGUGAUUAGUGUCGAACGGGCGAGUAACACGUGAGUAACCUGCCCCUGACUCUGGGAUAAGCGUUGGAAACGACGUCUAAUACUGGAUAUGAUCACUGGCCGCAUGGUCUGGUGGUGGAAAGAUUUUUUGGUUGGGGAUGGACUCGCGGCCUAUCAGCUUGUUGGUGAGGUAAUGGCUCACCAAGGCGACGACGGGUAGCCGGCCUGAGAGGGUGACCGGCCACACUGGGACUGAGACACGGCCCAGACUCCUACGGGAGGCAGCAGUGGGGAAUAUUGCACAAUGGGCGCAAGCCUGAUGCAGCAACGCCGCGUGGGGGAUGACGGCCUUCGGGUUGUAAACCUCUUUUAGUAGGGAAGAAGCGAAAGUGACGGUACCUGCAGAAGAAGCACCGGCUAACUACGUG
rnacentral:rRNA from 1 species